rnacentral:sRNA from 1 species
GCUGGGCGUGGUGAUGCACACCUGUAAUCCCAGGGGCUCGGGAGGCUGAGGCAGGAGGAUCGCGAGUUCAAAGCCGGCCUCAGGAAAGGCGAGGCACUAAGCAACUCAGUGAGACCCUGGCCCUA